CUAAACGAUGUCAACUGGUUGUCGGGUCUUCAUUGACUUGGUAACGUAGCUAACGCGUGAAGUUGACCGCCUGGGGAGUACGGUCGCAAGAUUAAAACUCAAAGGAAUUGACGGGGACCCGCACAAGCGGUGGAUGAUGUGGAUUAAUUCGAUGCAACGCGAAAAACCUUACCUACCCUUGACAUGUACGGAAUCCUGCUGAGAGGCGGGAGUGCCCGAAAGGGAGCCGUAACACAGGUGCUGCAUGGCUGUCGUCAGCUCGUGUCGUGAGAUGUUGGGUUAAGUCCCGCAACGAGCGCAACCCUUGUCCCUAGUUGCUACGCAAGAGCACUCCAGGGAGACUGCCGGUGACAAACCGGAGGAAGGUGGGGAUGACGUCAAGUCCUCAUGGCCCUUAUGGGUAGGGCUUCACACGUCAUACAAUGGUCGGAACAGAGGGUUGCCAAGCCGCGAGGUGGAGCCAAUCCCAGAAAACCGAUCGUAGUCCGGAUCGCAGUCUGCAACUCGACUGCGUGAAGCUGGAAUCGCUAGUAAUCGCGGAUCAGC
rnacentral:rRNA from 1 species